GGCGCUAUAGUUCAGCCUGGUUAGAACGCCCGUUUCAUGUGCGGGAGAUCCCCAGUUCAAAUCUGGGUAGCGCCA
rnacentral:tRNA from 1 species